rnacentral:rRNA from 1 species
AUUGAACGCUGGCGGCAGGCCUAACACAUGCAAGUCGAACGAGUGGCGGACGGGUGAGUAAUGUCUGGGAAACUGACCGAUGGAGGGGGAUAACUACUGGAAACGGUAGCUAAUACCGCAUACCAUCGGAUGUGCCCAUAGUGGAUUAGCUAGUGGGUGGGGUAACGGAUAACCUAGGCGACGAACCCUAGCUGGUCUGAGAGGAUGACCAGCAACACUGUACCUGUGACACGGUCCAGACUCCUACGGGAGGCAGCAGUGGGUAAUAUUGCACAAUGGGCGAAAGCCUGAUGCAGCCAUGCCGCGUGUAUGAAGAAGGCCUUCGGGUUGUAAAGUACUUUCAGCGAGGAGGCGUUACUCGCAGAAGAAGCACCGGCUAACUCCGUGCCAGCAGCCGCGGUAAUAC